rnacentral:rRNA from 1 species
CCUACGGGUGGCAGCAGUGAGGAAUAUUGGUCAAUGGACGCAAGUCUGAACCAGCCAUGCCGCGUGCAGGAUGACUGCUCUAUGAGUUGUAAACUGCUUUUGUACGAGGGUAAACUGCGAUAUGUGUAUCGGGUUGAAAGUAUCGUACGAAUAAGGAUCGGCUAACUCCGUGCCAGCAGCCGCGGUAAUACGGAGGAUCCGAGCGUUAUCCGGAUUUAUUGGGUUUAAAGGGUGCGUAGGCGGGUUGUUAAGUUAGUUGUGAAAGGUUGGGGCUCAACCCCGAAAUUGCCUCUGAUACUGGUAGACUAGAGAACAGUAGCGGUAGGCGGAAUGCAUGGUGUAGCGGUGAAAUGCUUAGAGAUCACACAGAACACCGAUUGCGAAGGCAGCUUGCCAAACUGUAUCUGACGCUGAGGCACGAAAGCGUGGGUAGCAAACAGGAUUAGAUACCCCUGUAGUC